rnacentral:tRNA from 1 species
GGCCUAAUGGCUCAGUUGGUUAGAGCGCCGCCCUGUCACGGCGGAGGUCGCGGGUUCGAGUCCCGCUUGGGUCGC